rnacentral:lncRNA from 1 species
UCUGAAUGAGGUCAAAUUAUCAAGCGACAAGAUUUGGUUGAUAUGCUAUCAGGGUAACCUGACUUUUCGACUGAUUGAGUCUCAGGGAGAAUACCAUGGGAGUGACGAAUGCUUCCCAGAUAGAAACUGAUUCAGCUUCUUUAUCUUUUGUGGAGAGGGAAAUUUCCUUGUAAACCAUUCUGGACCACAGGUUCUAAAGGCGAAGGGGGCCAUGG